rnacentral:piRNA from 1 species
CACAAUGGUGCUGGCAUUUAUGGACC